UCCCACUGCCCACGCGUGCAGCCCCCUCACGCAGGGCUCCUGCUUAUUCCGACACAACGUGAAUUCUGAACACACGGACCCACGCAGCCAUUCUUGCUGUUGCCCGUCCCAGGACAGAGAGGCAUUGGCGCUCCCAGACUUGGGCGCCUUUAUUAGGUGUUCUGGGAGACAGGCAAAAAUUUUAGGAGGUGAAGAUGGAACGAGUCUUAAUGUCCGAAAUGGAAAGGGUAUUCCACCUUGCACCGCGGGUUAGCCAAAGCAGACGCACCGACAAGUAGGUCCGCGUCGGGCUCCUGUGUGUGAACGUGCUCAUGGCUGCCUGGAAGGCUAUGCCCUGCUUACAGGGCAUAGUCCGAACUGGUCUGUCAUUGGUUCUCCCCAUCCCAGACAGGGUCGUGCCAAUGAUGACUCUGUUCCAAAGAGUGGACGGCGCUGAGGUGCUUUCGGAGUUGUUAGAGAAACGGAGGUCGGCAACACUUAGAAAUUAAGUGUACUGUAAUAUGUACAGAUUUUCUACUCAGGAUUCUUUGCAUUAAGGCAUUUUAUUACUGGGUUUAUCUUCAUCUCAGUAAGGUCUUUGGCACAUUCAUUCUUAUGAGAAAAAAAGUAGCAUGCAACUUUCCAGAAAUACCUUCUAAAACGCAUGUUUAUCGGUACGUUCCCAUGUUGGACAAGUGUAUCUCUGUCCUGUGUAAGGAGCUUGGCUGAGCUUCUCAUAAUCCCAGUUUCUGGUUUAAUGCUGCUUUUUCAGAGGAGACUCUCAUGACCACUCCAUUUCAAGCAGCUUUUCUCCCGUAUCUCAGCAUGCCCCUCCCUCCUAGCAUCGAUUAGUAACUGAAGGUAACCCAUAAAUUGGGUUUCGCUUGUUUUCACCAGAAGAAUGUAAGCUUCCUGAGGGGCAUUUUAUUGAAUGAAUGAGAGAAAUUUGCAGUUCUGUUCCUUGAUUACAAAGAGGAGUGCUUAUUUCCAAAAGUUUCUCACUAACCUUUAGCCUUACAGUCAAUAUAGCUAUUUCCCAGCUCACUUUUAAGAAGAUAUGUUACAUUUUAGAAUUUGGCUUUAUCUGUCUCUCAUUAUGUUGAAAUUCUUAAUACAUUCAAGUAGCUGUCUCAAAAAUACCAUUUUGCGUGGGGUUUUUUAAAAGAAUAUUACCUUUUACCCAGCAAAGUGAUAAUUAAGAAAAGUAUACUUUCCUUAAGUUGGUUCACCAUGCAGCUGGUGUAUACUCGUUAAUAAGCAUUUGGUGGUAAAGAUUUUAAGCCAGUAAUGAGUCUGGAUUCCCUUUUUAAUUUACUGCUUAACUGGAGUUGUUGAGCUUUGUUUUUCUCCACCAUUUACCAAUUAUAAUUUCAUGAGUUUACUUGGGUAAUUGUCUUUAGGCUAUAAAAUUAAUAGUGAAAAUUAGGUUGCUGUAUAAUAAUGCUGCCCUAACAUGAGUUUGGGUAUAAUGUUUGUUUCACAGAAAUUCGGAAACAAGGAGUGUAGAAAGAAAUGGUUGGGUGAGGGGCAUUUGCUCACAGUGGCUCUGUCAUUGUGUAAACCUCAGUUUUCCACUUUAUUAUGUGAUGAGUAAAACACAUAGCCAUUUCUCUUUUGUUGCUUAUAAGAAUACACAAAUAUUGAAAUUAUUCAACAUUAAGCUGCAAACAUCUUCAGUUCAUAGCAGUGACUUUGGAAAAUUUAUUUAAUGUAGAAGCUAAACUCAAAGGGGAGUAAGAUAUGAAAACAUGAUUCUCUGAUCGUGGAUAACCAAAACUUUCUGUUUGAAUAAUAUAGGGAAUUGCACACCAAUGCUUAGAAUCUGCACUUGAAAAAGCAUGCUUGGAAAAAACUUUUAAAGAAUGAAUUUAGGGAUACAUAGAAAUGCACUGUCCCUUAUUUCCCCCUCAGAAAUAUUUCCCAUUAAUAAAUACUUUUGGAGUUGCUUGUAUCAUCAACAUUCCACCGUCCAAAAUUUUUUUUUAAAAUCUAUCAUCAACCUCUGUAAUGCACCAGAAUUGACUAAUUCCACUAGACACUCUUCACCCCUGAGACACUACUUUUUUAUCAUUCAUAAAAGUAGAAGGAGUAUUCUGAGUCACUGGAUAAACUUUUCUUCAGGAAAAGAAACUCGUUUAAAAUAAAUAAUGUCAAAUGCUCAUUUUCUGCUUCGCAAAUGACCUUUCAAGUAGUUGUCACACAGACUAUUCCUGAUUUAUCACAAGUAAGCAGAUGUAGCUUAUGACACCGGAGGUUUAAAGUAACAUCAUUAAACUACCAAAAUUCAAAAGCGAUGAUGUUUUAGUAUUUAACAACAAUCCUAUUUUUUUCAUGUUCUUCCUGGAGGCAUUCGUGUGUGUUCAAGAAUUAGAGGGCCAUGAUGUUCUGUUUCUUUAUGUUUAGCUCACAGUUCCUCCUGACAGUGUUUAUUUCUGAAGACAAGUGUGACGUGUGAGUGUAUUUGGAGUAACUGAGUCAAUAUUACCUCAGUGUGAUUUUCUUUUAGGAUGUUAUAUCUUCCUAAGGAACAAAUUCCAGGUAACUUCCAGAAAUAGAAGGAUUGAGAACACAGUUUUAUUAUUUUUUUUAAUGUACGUGUGUGUACACGCACAUACGUAUCCAUAACUAUAUAAAAUAGAUUUUCUUUUUUGUAAGAACAUCUAAGUGUCUCUUGAUUCAGGUAGUUUUAUCAUAGCCAUCACAUGUUGCAGGGAGAUUUUUUGCACCAUUCAUAGUAACUAAAACACAAUCAUCUUUUUGAGGGAGGAAAAGAGAGAGAAGAGGGGAAAGCUGGAAUUUGUAAAGGGGGGGAGAGAUUCUGUUCCUAUCCUUCCCUGAGGCUGAACUGUUUAUCUCUCUAUCCUCAUUCGAUAAAAGUGAAUUUUAUAAUAAAAUUCUCCCUAAUCGGGCACUGUCGGUGGAGGUGUCUUAUCGCUGAGGGGAAAAUGACACCGAUCCUAUCGGAACACAGAAACGAUGUCACCACGUCCCCAAUCACAGCUCUCCAGCCCCCGUAUCUACCUUCUCCACAAACACCACGCCGUGCUUUUUUCCAUAAGAACAUCAAAACCCAGCAAAGUCAUUAAAAUUGCACCCGCGUCGAGUUGCAGGGACCAGCCGCACUCGCGCAAAAUGGGAUGUGGGAAACCAGACUCUCUAAAUGUGCUAAUUCCAUUGUCACGUGUUUCCAGCUUAAUUUUAAUCAGUUAAAAAAGCCACGCAUUGCAAUAAAUUGGCAUUAUCUUCUGUGACACCAGAAGACACAGUUGGUUCAAGGAUUUAGAGGGUCACUGGCAACAGUAUAUAGUAUUACAGACAAAGUAUUUUUACGCUUGAACUACGGUAGCUAAGGUACAAUCCCCAGUUAAGACUGCAGACAAAGACUAGAACCCACACUGCACUAAGUUCAACUUGCAGACCACCUUCGUCUGUGGUGGACUUUGUAUGCAAAACAAAGAAUUUGGAGAAUUUUUUUAAAGAGUAAUUUAUUCAUCUUCUAAAAAAAUUUUUUUUAAGUAGCCUUUCAGUGCUGUAGCCUUAUUGCAUACUUGGCAGUAGACCAAAUGGCCUGCCCAUUGGUCCUCUCAGUAGACUUGUUUUCCAAGCCUGAUGUUUCAUUGACUGUGUUUACAUUGACCAAUUCGACUUGCGAGCCUAAACAAAGAUACAUUAGCACGCUUGAGGAAGUGCAAACAGAAAACAGUGUCAUUGACGAUGGUUGGAGGACGACAAUGAAAGACUGUCUCUAAUGGUCUUAAUUUAUUAAUGUCAAAUUAGCACCACUAUAUUUUUACACAAUUAAAGUUUAGCAAUUGCUGAAGUAGAAACUACUGGCAAAUUUAAUUUUAAUUUGUUCCAUGGGGUUAUUCUUAGGAUGUACAUAUCUCUAUUUCAAAGCAGAAUAAUCCCUUGGACGUGAACUGGCUGUUCUGCAUAAGAAUAUCUGUGAAUGGUUUUGGGACAAAAAGAUUUAUUUUCUGUGGCAAGAUGUAAGAUAUCACUUCAGUUCUCAAAUUUAGUGUUUUAGCUUUGUAAACUAUUAACACAUUUACAAUAGUUUUAAAAUAGUAGACAUCAUCAAGUUUUUUUCAGAAGCCUUAGGUGAAUAAAAUACUAAAAUACUUAAAAUUGUCAAACUUUUGGUUUGUUAACUAACAAAGAGUUGAAAAAUCUCAAUUUCUUCCUGAAACUGGUUUGUUUUCUUUUUUUAAUUGACAAAUAUGACCUUGAGGGAGAAAAAUAAAUAAAUAAACGCAACCACAACUUUUAUGGAAUGAAAAGAGCUUUCAGAAUGAAAUCAUUUCGCAGUGACUGGAAAAAUAAACAUUUGAAUGUCUUUUGUUUUCAUUUUUGUUCAACACUUUGUUGAUUUCUUUAUACCAAAAGCAAUAGAGAGAAAAAAAUGAAGUAGUAGCGAACCAGAGAGAAAUAAUUUUUCAGUGCAUUGUGUUUGUCUUCGCUGUGAGUUUCGCUUUCUAUAGUCAAUGUCAAAUUGAUCAGACCUCUGCUGUGUGAUUGAAGGACUUUUCAAAAAAAAUCACACAUUGUGAAGUUAAGACUGUUAAGUUGUAGUGCCACUAAAACAGUUUUUUCUGACUGCACCCGCCUUGCCACAGAGGCCGUGCGAGUUACUGCGUUUCGUCCAUGUUUAAACAGCUUGAGUAAAUUUACAGGGUCACUCUUUUUUUUUCCCCUCUUUUUAAAAAAUAGUACAGAGGAAGAAUGAGUGCAAAUUUUGAACUCAGUCUUUUCUCUGUUAGGAUUAGCAGCCAGCUCUGCAUGAAGGGAGAGAAGUCGGGGGGAUAUGGGAAGGACUUCCCUAUAUGAUGGCUCCGGGCUUUUUAAAGGAGACACACACAAAAAAAAUAACAGGAAAGUUAAUUGUGUACCGUGGAAUGCUGGCUUUCGUUACGUGUCUAAAAAUGGUUUCAUUGAUUUAGCUCAGAAUUUACUAGUAGCUGUGGCUCUUUGUCAAUGGUUGUUUCUUUCCUUAUUUUUUAGGAGAUGAACUAGUUUAAAUUUUCAGUGCAUACAUAUUUAUAUACAUAUUAAUAUAUAUUUUCCUCAUUGUGUGUUAAAUUAAAAAUGUGUGAGAGAUGAUCAUUAUGUGCAGCCUUAAAAGGAAAUAGCCCCCCUCCCCUUUAUAUUUAACUGGAGACCCAUAGGAUGUGUUGAUUGAAGGAGAUUUAUGGAAGGAAAUAUAUUUAUCAAGCUCAUACAUGAGGCAGCAGAACAGGUUUUAUUUCGCCUUCCUUUCACCAUAAAACAAUGCACCUCUGUUUAAUUAACCUGAUACAAUUGUUAAAUUGCAGUAAUGUUCCUGAUUUAAAAUUUGUGAUAUACAUAUUUAGUGUCUUUGGAGGAAAGACUAGUUUAAAGAGAUGACAAAUCACAGUGUCCUAAGUUAGUCUGAAAGGAAACAGCUAUCAAAAUAUUAACCCAGCCACAAAUCACCAUGUUUCUGUAGAUUCUGGGCAAUGGAGAAAAUAGAAGAAUUUCAAAUUUAUUCAGAGACUAUUUAAAACCAAUUAAAUACGUAAUGCUUCAUGUUGAAUGAAAACAGACAUUUUUAUUUAUGUUUUAUUUAUAUUUACUCUGAAUUUUAAAUAGUUUUGCAAAAAAGCAGUGAAAGUCGUGAUGCAAUAGGAACUGAAUUCUUUCAUGUGUACCUCUUGUUUUCCAAAACCAUAUUAUAAUUUUAAACCCUGUUUAUAACUUAACACAACUGACUACUUGGCUCAGCAGUUAAGGCUGCAUUAUACUUUUCUACACAUAGGCUGCGCCAUUGAGCCACUAGUCAAAGAAAUACCUCGUGCGGGGAGAUGGGAAUGGAGAGUGCAUGGAAACGAAAAGGACGGGCUCGCAGCUUUUUAAAUGUUUGUGACUAUAAUAUUUUUAAAAACGUAUUUUGAUAUACCUAUCAUUUUUGGAUCUUUUAGGAUAUUGUCUAAUAAUUUUAAAUGUAAUUUUGCUUUAAACACAGGUAUUCUUUCAAGUUUUAAGUAUUUAUGUAAAUGUAUAAGAAAAACAUAAGUCAAGGUGAAACACAAUUUUUAACUUAAACAGGUGAAGUCAUUCUCGUAUUUUUUAUUUGAUGAAGACCAUUUAAAUUUAUUACAAUUUAAAAGAUAAUCAUUAUUUAAGUAACUUUAAAGGGUCAGAUAUAAUUAACACAAAUAUGUGCUUGGAAAUUUUACAUUAAAAUCUAGUUAACUUCCAUACCUGCUUAAGAAAUUUGUGAAGUCAAAGUGAAUAUAGUUCCAUCCCUAAUGGAAGAUAAGAACCUGUUCAGUAAGUCUAAGUGAAAACAGUUUAGAAUUAUGGAUAUACACUGGAUUUUCCUUUCAUUUCCACUAAUAUUGGGACUGCUAACAUAUGAAAAACUAUAGUAAUGUCUCUAUUGUAUUUUUAUCCUUUGGUGCAAGAGUAUAUUAUAAUAAUAGGUUUAAAAUAAUAUUUACAACUGUAUUAUAUUUCAACGUAACUGUCCUUUAACUUUUAUAUGCUGGAAAAUAAAUUUUAAGCAUAACAAAUACUUUUGAUAAAUUCACGUGAAACUAAACUCUACAUGUACAGUUCAGCGCCAUUCUUUAAUCUUUGUAUUUUGUAGCUCCAACGAUUCUAAAAACAGUGCUCUGGGACUGUUUCUUUGCAUAAACACAUUUUGGGUAAAUCACUGUCUUCUUAUUUAAUAGUUAGAGUGACUUACGGAAGAAAGCGAGGUGUUGCUGUCUGCUGAGAGUGGAGAAGUUUAUCACCGAAAAUUUAAGCAAUGGCGCUGCCAAUUCAUUCAUGGCAAACGUUAAGAACAUGUUAGUGUUACUGGCAAAAGCAGCUCCUGCUUGGAUCCCCAGCAUGCAAGUCCUCACAUGCUUGCGCCCAUAAAUGCCACCUCCUGCACCCCAUCGCUUCCACUGUGAAUCUUCAGGGAAAAGUUCCCAGAAAGUAUGUUCAUCAGCCAGCUCUGUGUUGAAGAGGCUGUCCCCAGGGUUUGCGCCAGUGCUCACUUACUGCCAAUAUGGACAUAAUAUCUCAGUCUAUCGUUAGGGAAAAACUCACUUGAAACUAAUAAAAUCUAAUCUAUUUUUGUAAAACACCAUUUUUAUAGUUUAUAAUGUAAUCGACUUUAUAAAAUGUGGUUUGCUAGGCGUAUGAUUUUAACCAAUUUAUGAAUUCAUAAAUGAACACCAGUUUUAUGUUUUAUUACCAAGAAUAAUAUGAUGUGAAAAUUUAUUAUUGCUUCGAUUUAUAUUUUCAUUUUAUUAAGAAAAAGAAGUCCAUGAUAUCAAAUAAUCAUAUUAGAAUUAACAGAUGGUUCUUCUUGUAACUUAAACUCUUUUAGGAAUCUGUAAAGUUGGAUAAUUGAUAUUGCUAGUCUGUGGCUGAUAGAAUACCUCUGUGGCAUGAUUUAAGAUAGUAAGUACUGUGUUAAUGACAUGUCCAAACCCAAGGGUGAGACAGUAGGCCACAUCUCUCUGUUAAUGACCUUAGAAAACCUGGAUCUUUCUGGAAAGCAAGACCAUUUCAUUGAAGAGGAGUUUUAAGAAUUAGCACUUAACUAGGCCACACAUCUUUGUAGGCAGAUCAAGAUUGGCCUGUGUUUAUAUGUUAGUGCAUCUUAAAAUAACUAGGUGGAUUUUGAUUAUUUUGCAGUCAUGUUUGUGAUUAUCUCACUUAAAAUAAGGCUUAUGUAAUGGACCCCAAAUGCAUUACAGGGUCCAAGGUGAUAUUUCAUAGUUGUUUCAGAGAAGCUGAAACUGAGGUAUCAAGAGAAAUAUGCUACACAUCUUAAGAUACUGUGGCCAGAGGGUGGUAAAGUGUGUGGUCUCAGAUAAUAGCACCAAGUCAUAAGUCCCAGAAGAAAUUACACCUGCCAAGAUGUGAUGGAGCUGCUUUUCAUAUUAGUAGCAAUGUGUACCUGUGUUCCAGGUUGGGAGCCAAGAGGGCUGUUUACCAAAUGAUCGUGAACUAUUCUCCAGCGAAGGGUUGGGGAGUUCUAAUAGCAUAUAGCAUAAGAUCCCCAAUCUUAUGCUAUAGCAAUCAUCCAACAGCUAAAAAUUACCAAAUACAAUGAGAUUCUCCCCCUUGAAAUUCAUUUAAAUGGUUGUGUUUUACUUCUCCUGUUGAUUCAAUUUCGGGAUUAUCAAGGCUUCAUGCUUUUCCUCCUGCUUCCUGUAACCCUCCUUUGACUAACUCUCUGUUGUACUCCUCUGCCACGGAGCAGGCCCAUUCAAGAGAUGAAACUCAAAUAGGUUAACCAUUUGUCUUCUAGAAAUUCUAACGAUAGAUUCUUUGAGAAGGGAAACAGCCAUUCGCUGAGCGCCUCUGUGACCCGGGCAUACACUGGCAAUGGUCUUCAAAGUUACCUUACAAGGUAGGUGCGGUUGUCCCCAUUUCACAAAGGAGAAAACUGGGAUCCAGAGAAGCUGAGCACCCAAUCCAAAUGCAGGACCCUCUGAAGGCAGAUCCCUUCCUUUUUUUUUUUUUUUCAUGAUCACAUGCUAAAGGCAAGGUUUAAUUAUCCUUACUGAGUUCUAGCAUAGGAAGCAGAACUGAAAGGGUAAGUUGGAACAUCUCUUGAGUUAGUACUUGGGAGACAGGCAGGCAUGUUGCCCUCUCCAACUCUCCAUGGAGACAGCUCCCUAUGUGUAAAGCGGCUGGCGCUCUCUGUACAUUGCUGAGAAUGGGAACUGCCUGGCGAGGAGGGUACCAAGGGAGAACGUUCCAAGGUGGUGAUGUGAUAUUGCUAUGAGCAUGCUUCUGAAGGUAAGUAAAAACCUGCAUCAGAACCACAAGGCCCCCUGUGCCCCAAUGCGGACUGACCCCAUGAGCCUGUCCGGAGGUGUGGCCCAGGCAUCUUCGCUUCUAGGGAGUAACUUCAGGUGCUUCUGAAGCAUACUAACUUCUGAGGGUUAUUGCUUCCAUGUAGGAAGCAUGGAUGAAUCUGGGAGGACCUUGACUUUGAAGCCCCACAUGCCUCUCUGCACCAUCUGUGUUUCUCUAGAGAAUCACCUUUUCUGUGCGGAGUGUCCAUUUAGUGCCAUCAGUUCCCUGCAUGUUGGUGCUCAGGCAUUCAGAGCCACAUUAAGGGGGUUUCUUCUCCCAAAGCCCGCCGCACAGUAUCUCCCACAAUCACACGUCUCGUGUACUUGUUCGUCCUUUUCUAAUCGAAAGUGAAAUGUCCUGAACAGCAUCAUAUUAAAAUAUAAAACUAUCUCUUGUGCAAAGUGAAGUCAGGGCAUACAUCUGGGAACUCAGCAAACUCUAAACUGUGUGCAAAAUUUUUUGUUGAGUUUGGAAACUGAUAGCUGCCUGAAGGUCGCAUAUUUAAGGUCAGUUUCCCUGUUUCCAUUAUGUUUGCCCUGUGGCAAAGCAAGGCAAGACUUCCUAUGGAAAAAAAUGAAAGAAAGAAAGAAAAGAAAACCCAAUAUUGACAUUCUAAUAAUAAAGGAAUAAUGAAGAUUGAGCCUGGAAUUUGUAAUCUUUUGCAUAUUCUAAAUUUCAGUAGGAUGAAUUAGUGUACAAUAUAUUUCAGAUUGACAGUUUACUGAGGGUUGACCCAUAUUUUGCGACAUAAGCAAAAACUGGUAGCACAUAUAAUGAAGGAAAACAAAGUAUUUAAAUCAAGUAUUUAAAUUUCAAAGUGAAAUGCUGUUUAUAUAACAGCCUGAGUAUCUCUGGGCACAUUUUUCUGAAGAGGCUAAAGUGCCAACUGAAUUUUCAUACAAAUUUUCUCAGCAAGUUCUGGCAUCAGUGAAGGAAGCUAGCACGUCUUGUUUCAUGAAGUUAUCAUCCAUCUUAGAAUUUGUACAUGUUCUUCCUUUCUAGCUUUUGCUGAAAGAACUGAGGUGAGGGAGUUAACAAUAAUGGACUAAUAACAACAGUGCUGGUAAGCGUUUAUUGAGCAGUUACUGUAUGCCAAACGUGUAUGCCACCACAUUAAGGAGUUUACGUAGAUGAUUUUGUUUAAUUCUGAGACUGCUCCAUCCAUAUUAUUAUCUUCACCUUACAGCUAAUAUUUAUCAAGCAUCUUUCAUGUGCUGGGUACUAUACUAUGCUGUUCCUGGUGUUAUCUUAAUCUUUAAAGAAUUGUAGUUGUGGUAUAUGGCUCUUUAUCUUUAUUUCAUACAUGAGGAAAUGGAAGUUGAGAGACCAAGUAGUAGCUUAUUCAGAGUGACAUACCUGGUGGGUGUUAGAGAUACUGGGCUUUUGAUUCCCCAUUCUACUUUAUGUUCGUCCUAAGCUGCCUUUAAAGCACCAUCCCACCUUGUUUACUCUCCGAGUUUAAACUCCAAAGAAAAGACUAGUAAUAUCUUAUGUAGCCAGUGAUUCAUCUUAAGGAAACUUAUUCUUCUCCAGGGGAACAACACUGGCCUUGGAAAGAUAUCUUAGGAUACCUU